AGUGAGCGGAUGAACUGAGGGUAGCGGAGAAAUUCCAAUCGAACCUGGAGAUAGCUGGUUCUCUCCGAAAUAGCUUUAGGGCUAGCCUCAAGUGAUGAUUAUUGGAGGUAGAGCACUGUUUGGACGAGGGGCCCCUCUCGGGUUACCGAAUUCAGACAAACUCCGAAUGCCAAUUAAUUUAACUUGGGAGUCAGAACAUGGGUGAUAAGGUCCGUGUUCGAAAGGGAAACAGCCCAGACCACCAGCUAAGGUCCCAAAAUAUAUGUUAAGUGGAAAAGGAUGUGGCGUUGCCCAGACAACUAGGAUGUUGGCUUAGAAGCAGCCAUCAUUUAAAGAGUGCGUAAUAGCUCACUAGUCGAGUGACACUGCGCCGAAAAUGUACCGGGGCUAAACAUAUUACCGAAGCUGUGGAUUGUCCUUUGGACAAUGGUAGGAGAGCGUUCUAAGGGCGUUGAAGCAUGAUCGUAAGGACAUGUGGAGCGCUUAGAAGUGAGAAUGCCGGUGUGAGUAGCGAAAGACGGGUGAGAAUCCCGUCCACCGAUUGACUAAGGUUUCCAGAGGAAGGCUCGUCCGCUCUGGGUUAGUCGGGUCCUAAGCUGAGGCCGACAGGCGUAGGCGAUGGAUAACAGGUUGAUAUUCCUGUACCACCUAUAAUCGUUUUA
rnacentral:rRNA from 1 species